AUUGAACGCUGGCGGCAUGCCUUACACAUGCAAGUCGAACGGUAACAGGCCUUCGGGCGCUGACGAGUGGCGGACGGGUGAGUAAUGCAUCGGAACGUGCCCAGUCGUGGGGGAUAACGCAGCGAAAGCUGUGCUAAUACCGCAUACGAUCUGCGGAUGAAAGCGGGGGACCGUCGGGCCUCGCGCGAUUGGAGCGGCCGAUGUCGGAUUAGGUAGUUGGUGGGGUAAAGGCUCACCAAGCCAACGAUCUGCAGCUGGUCUGAGAGGACGACCAGCCACACUGGGACUGAGACACGGCCCAGACUCCUACGGGAGGCAGCAGUGGGGAAUUUUGGACAAUGGGCGCAAGCCUGAUCCAGCAAUGCCGCGUGCAGGAAGAAGGCCUUCGGGUUGUAAACUGCUUUUGUACGGAGCGAAAAGGCUCCCUCUAAUACAGGGGGCUCAUGACGGUACCGUAAGAAUAAGCACCGGCUAACUACGUGCCAGCAGCCGCGGUAACAC
rnacentral:rRNA from 1 species